GGUCAGUUAGCUCAGCUGGUUAGAGCAUAGUGCCAAGAAUGCUAAGGUCAUGGGUUUAAUCCCCAUACUGACCA